UGGGCGGGGAGACAAAGCUAGCUUCAGAGACGCCAGUGUUGUCACUGAAGGACACGGGCAGAAUCCACCAACAGACUAGGGCACCAGAGCCCGUUCAGUUCAGAUUCCAGUGGCAAUGAAUGCUGAUGCCGGACUCCGGCAGGCAGGCCCAGCUGUGACGGGCUUCCUAUGAAGAUUGGUCAUUGAUGGGGGCGCCACUUUUGCACUCACAGCGCGAGCAUCUGAGUCAACCACGCCCUCUCCUCUGUUAACCCAAAGCUCUGGAGAAGAUGUGAAUACGGCUUCUGUUUGACUCAUCCCAAGCUUGACCUAUUUGUGAAAUGCUUUCUCUACAAAAAAGCUUUAGCCACCAGGUUCCAGAUGCCAGCAUGAUGCCCACCAGACUUCCCUGGACAGACGACCCCACCAAUGUGUACUGGAGCUCCACUUCCCCUGAGCCCUACCCUACUAGGGAAAGAGAGAGGCAGGCUGGGAGUAUGGAUCGACCUGUCAACGCCCAUGUUCAGAGGGGAAGCAAUGACAGAAGCCAGACCUUCCACCUUCUGUAUCCCACAAUGACCUUGGGUCCAUCCUCCCAGUGGGAUAAAGAAUAGGAAAGCUAUCAGGGGAGGAGAUGGGAUACGGAGAUCUGGUGGUGGCAAUUGUGUGGAGUUGUACCCCUCUUAUCCUAUAGUUUUGUUAAUGUCUCCUUUUUUAAAUAAAUAAAAAAAAAAUAAAAAAGAACCUGACCCAUUUCCACUUGUCACCCCCUCCCCCCAAAGCACAAAACUGUCGAAGAAGAUGAAGUCUAGCAAAUCUCAAUAGAGCCUUGCCGUCACUUCUCAGGUUUGCAAACUGGAUCUUGACUACUAUUAAUAUUUGUAGCCAGGACUUAGUGAUGAUUUAUUCUGUGCCAAAUAUGACCUAAGCACAGCAACCCUCAGAUGAACCCCUCUUGCCUGUGCAGUUCACACAUGAAGGAGCUGGAGG